AGGCUAGUCUGGGAGGCUGGCGCAAAGGCAGUGGGGUGGCGAGGGUAGGGGCUCCUCAGGAGCCCACGGAGUGCGGCGGUGGCUCGGGGGCCAAGUUCCCUACAACAAGGAUGGCGGUGACGGGCCCAGGGAGCGGGGCCAGCUCUCCUUGCCUCGAGGCUCCUCUGAUUCCACUCGCGUGGCUGCGCGGCCCUGGCAGCGGCCUUCGUCCCGGGGGUGGGAGCUCCACAGGGUUCCGCCCCGUCCUGGCGACGACGCCUGAGGGGACUCUGUGCUAAGGCUCUGUCGGGCAGGCCGGGCUUCCGGGAGGACCUGGUCUGGAUGGGCCACCGCUGGGUGCCUGAGCUCUGCACGGAGCCUGCAGGCUUUGUUUAACUUAUAAAGAAGUGGGGGCUCAGAGCAGUCAAGAACAUGCCCCAAGUUAUUCGUCAGUGAAGCGGAAAUUGUGGUGUUCUUGUUUUUUGUGGGUCAGGAGAUCAGAAAUGGUUCUAUUUCAAGGUCUCUCAUAGGGCUGCAAUCAAGAUGUUGGCAUGCCUGGGGUCUCAUCUGAAGGCUGGACUGGAGAAGAAUCUACUUCCAAACUUAUGUGGUAGUUGGAAGAAUUUAGUUCCUCAAGGCUGCUAAACUGGUGGCCUGUGUUCCUUGCCUCUGGGAUGGUAGCUUGCUUCAACCAAGUGUGCAAGCAGAGAAGACACUAGCACGACAGAAGCCACAAUCUCUUGUAAUCUAUCAUUUUUGCUGUAUUCUACUGGUUAAAAAUAACUCAUUAGGUUAAGCCUACUGGAUCUCAAGGGGAAGAGAUUAUACAAAGGCAUGAAUUUCUGGAGGAGGGAAUGAGGGCAAAGAAUUCUGAGAAGUCUGUCUUCCACAAUCUGAAGAACUUCUAGAAAGUAGGAGGAAGCGAUAUUGCUUAGGGAUGGACAACUUGGCACUGGUUGUGUUCCAAGUGAGGUAACCUUGUUCCCAAGAAUAAAGAGAACCAGAUGUCUGUAAACGUUUCCCUGAACUGAAAUGCAGAUUGUUGUAUGUUCACCUGAAAUGAAUGGUAUAAGCUGAAUAUAAGAUUUUUGACAAAAUAAAAAUUUUGCUGUGUUCUCAGAUCUGGCAGGCUCCUGCCCUUGUGCAAACAAUGUUCCUGGCA